rnacentral:sRNA from 1 species
AGCUGGUAAAAUCAAUUUAAUUUGCUUUCAUUCGACUGACAACAAAACAGAUGAUUGCUUUAUGUUUUUGUCAGAAGUAUAGAGCCCGCUCCAAUCGAAAAAAUGUAUAUGUUAGUUUCGUGCCAAAUUUGGCAUGUCAUAAGACAACUACAUGCCGUGUAAUAGAGCCUUAACAUGGGGUCUAACUACUACAUACAGAGAAUGUGGGGUGGUGGUGGUGGUGGUUGUGAGUGUCGCCCAAAUGCCUCUCUUGGCUUUCGGUCUCCACCUCGCUCUUCAAUGUAUCACGACAAUCAACCCUACUCGCCUCCCCCCUAUGACCUAUGAAGCGCAAUGGUGAGUUACAUCAUAAGAUUUGCCAAACAAUUGUUUGGAGGUUCUGAUUUUUUUCUAUAUAUUUUUUUUACAUUGAAAUGCUUUUCCUGUGAAUGGGAACAAUAAAAGGACUGAAAAAAAAACAACAAUAAGGGAAAAAUAAAUGGAUGGAUUGGUGAUUGUGCGAGCUUUAGACAGACCGCUGUCGUCAAAUCCUUUUGUUUUGCUGCUAAUUUACCAACAAUUGCCUUUUAUUGGGGAAAUGUGCAAUUGUCGUCCUUUUGUUGCAUUUAUUGUCGUUGUUUUGCCACUUUAAGUGUACAUCGGUGGAAAUGCUUGUGUUUUUGAUUGUCGACGUGUAUUUUGUUUCUAUUUUUUAUGUUUUUUUUGUUUUUCAUUUAUGGGCAAAACAACAGCAAUUCAAGAAGAAAAACCUAGACAUAGACACUUGUCCCUUAAGAGCAGGAGCGGCAUCAGCAUAACCACUGCGGAAAACACACUCAAAUGGUUGGCAUUCAUUCGUUGGCUGGGUGAAUUGUGGUGAAGUGUAUGGCGAUGGCGAUGUCGAUGUCGCCUGGUAUCUUAAGAAUACGCAAAAUGUCAGAGCAUCAAAGCCCAGACAGAGGCCGGAGAAGGUAUAGGGGCAAUGGCAGUGGCAGAAGCAAGGCGAAGGGAAAUGGUAUGGAAAUGGAAGACUUGCACUUACACAUUCAUGAAAGGAAAUUACAAAACAAUUGAAUUGUGUGUUGUCGGUUGAUGGAUGAUGGUUGAAUGGUUCGUUGGCUGGGUGCACUGCGGUCGGUAUCCUUUUAGAAAAUCCCGUGCAAAUUCAAUUACUCCUCCACACAGGCGCUGCCUGUCAAUAGUCCUGGUCUGUCGUAACACCCAGCCAAGGCAGGCAGCACUUCACACGUAAUUCCGUGGCGUAUUCGACAACUAACUGGCUGGCUGGUUGGUUGGUUGGUUCACUGGUUCCGUGCUGAGUAACUGGAGGGGGGUGGUGAAAUUUGAUUUCUUUUUUUGGUAUUUUGUGUUUUUUUCUUCUUGUUUUGGAAAAUAGAUACAGACGAAAAAACCCUACCGUUUUUUCAGCUUGGCUUGGCUUUUGGUAUUUUUUUGGUCAGAUUGUUACGUUGGUUGGUGGUUUACUUUUGUGGACACUUGGCUGCUUGCUCUUUGCACUCUCGCUCGUUUUUCAGAACAUUUUCUUUACACUUUUCUUCUUUUUCACUUUUACUGGCUGACAGGGCAGUGUUACACCAUUUUCAGAUUGCUUUUCUUUUCAUUUCGUUUUAUUGCAUUUUUCUUUACAUUCACAAUUUUCAAACAUUUUCUUAUUCAAUUCAAUUUCUUCAUACUUUUGCACCUUCUAUUUUUUCUAUUCGCUUUGUUGAGCCCAAGAGCCACUUCAGGAAUAAUUUCGAGAUUUCCUUGAUUUGGUGUUUAAUUACACAUCCUUUGAUUCCGUAGUUCAACUAUUCUUCAGCUUUGGCAAUUGUCAUGU